ACUGGAUUUGCAGCAGAAACACCCUGCUAAAGAACAAGUAUCUUGGUUCACAGCAAAGAGGACAAAGGAAAACAGCAAGUUAUAGGGAGUUGAAUGCUGGAUUGGGUGUCCUCUGAAAGGCCACAUCAACUGCAUCUCAGGACCAUAGACAGUUGAGGAAGAGGAAGGAUUUAUUUGUUUUGCUGUUGUUGCUGACCAUCGGUUAAAAGUUUGCUGUACUGGGACUUAACUCCCCAGAAGGUCCAGACUGCAACUGUGGACACUAAACAAGACCACUCACACCUCAGGGUCAACAAAGAAAUUCUGGAUUGCAGAUCAAAGGACUAAUGACCUGGCUGCUCAGAAAAUCAUUUCAAUUCUUCGUGUCCGUAGCCAUGUAUAACGUCGCCUGAAGGGACCAUAUACUUUAAGGUAUACACUCUAUACAUCACUUAUUGUACACAUAUUUUUUGAGCACGUACUAUGAGCGGGGUACCUGCAGAUAGAGCAGAAAAAUGAAAGAAACUGGAAUUGCUGCUUUCAUGGAGCCUACGUACAGUUGGAGGGAAACAGAUACAAUACGGUGGCCCUUGUAGGUGACCGGUUAUAAACCCAAAGAAGGCUUCCGUGGCCACGGGCAGAGAUAAACAUCCAGGAGUACAGAAGAUCUGUUGGAUUCUAUCAAGGAAAAUUUCUUCCUUGUUUCUGUCUGUAUCUUGUUCCCUCUUUUAAUAUGCAAAUAGUGGUCUGGGUUUGAAUUGUGAUUUCCUCUCUAGCCUCUGCGUUGAUCUCUACUUCAUAAAGCAGAGGAGCACGAUCUAAAAGGAAACAAACUUCUACUUCACUGAGCUGGGUGGUUUUAUCAGGGAAGAUUUCCGUAAGAACUUGCCAUUUGAACGGGACCUUGAAAGAAGCAUAGACUACGACUGGGUUGACUAUAAGAAAGGGUGUUUUAAUCAAAGAGAAUGAUGUGAGCAAAGCUAGGAGACCUGAAGUACACAGGUGUGUAAAAUAUGGCAAAGCUGGAUGUGGCUGAAGCACCAGGGCAUGUACCAGGAGAAGGCUGGAAUCUCACUCGGGGACAAGGAGGUGAAAGCUUUGAAUGGCACUGUUCACAGGGAGGAGGCUUCAGGUUUCUGAGCUGAAGAGCAUGAUGGCAUUUAUUUUGGAAAGAUAAUUCCAUUCGGGAGGAAGAUGACAACAAAAGAGGAGGAAUGGAUGGCUAACACUUGCAUGGCAUUAAAUGUGCUCGUGCUGGGUAGGUCCUAAGUGUUUUCUACGUAUUAACUACUCAAGACAAUGCCAAAAGCACAAAGGAAAGCAUGAUAUCCUGCCAAUAAGACCAAAUAAGCCAGUGUUCACCUGCAGAGCUCAGCGAAGCAGUGCACCCAGGUGGAUACCGAACUAAGAUAAAGGCCAAGGAUGAGGUGGAGUGGCAAAGAGGGGGAAGAAAGAGGGAAGGAAGACAUAGUUUCAAAGAAAAUCAGCAGAAGGAAUUGGCAAAAUGGAAGACCUUAAAGAGAAGAGACUCACAAAAGAGGAGAUACUGAGGUGUUGCAUGAGCAUUCAACAAUACAAAAGACAAAAGAGACAAGUCUUUGUUCUGGAAGGGGGCAAUGAGUGCACCAUCGCUAUGGCCAGAAACUAUGUUAUUUUCUUCACAACCAAACUUAUGGUGACAGGAGUCAUCAUAAAUGAGCCAUGCAAAAAUUUUGGGGGGAAAAAAAUCCCCACAGAAUCAAAACA